rnacentral:rRNA from 1 species
UACGUAGGAAGCAAGCGUUGUCCGGAAUCACUGGGCGUAAAGCGCGUGUAGGCGGUAUGGCAAGUCUGCUGUGAAAGCUCUCGGCUUAACCGGGAGAGGUCGGUGGAAACUGCCACACUGGAGGACGGUAGAGGGGGGUGGAAUUCCCGGUGUAGUGGUGAAAUGCGUAGAGAUCGGGAGGAACACCUGUGGCGAAAGCGCUCUGCUGGACUGCAACUGACACUCAGGGACGAAAGCUAGGGGAGCGAAUGGG